rnacentral:rRNA from 1 species
CUCCCAGCGGGAAAAGAAGACCCCGUGGAGUUUUACUGCAGCCUGUCGCUGGAACAUGGCUGUGGAUGCAGAGCGUAGACGGGAGCCGUCGAUCCCUGUUUCUCCGGGAACAGGGGGAGGCGCCAAUGGAACACCGUCCUUCUGCAACCGUGUUUCUCACCGGCGCCUCUGGCGCUGGAACAACGGCAGGUGGGCAGUUUGGCUGGGGCGGCACGCCCUUGAAAAGAUAUCAAGGGCGCCCAAAAGUCGGCUCAGGCGGGUCAGAAAUCCGCCGUAGAGGGCAAGGCCAUAAGCUGGCUUGAUUGGAUCCUGAAAAGCGAGGGAUCCAAGGGCGAAAGCCUGGCCUAGCGACCGCUUGUGCCCCCAUCAGUGGGGGCCAGGCAUGACAGAAAAGUUACCCCGGGGAUAACAGAGCCGUCGCGGGUGAGAGCUCCCAUCGACCCCGCGGUUUGCUACCCAGAUGUCGGCUCUUCCCAUCCUGGGAGUGCAGCAGCUCCCA